AGGGGCGGUUAAAAAGUGGCAGCGGUUAAAACGCCCGGCCAGUGGCUCCCCUCCCCCCUCUCUUUCUCUCCUCCGCCCGCGCCCGGGGAACGAACCACAGCGAUCCCUCCUCCUUCACAGGCCCCCGGAUCCAGAGCGGAGUCGGUGCUCAGACGCUCGGGGCGGCGGAUCCAGGCGCGAAGAUGGGGAAGGCGGCGGCGGUGGGGACGGCGGUGGUGGUGUGCGCGGCGGUGGGCACGGCGGUCGUGCUCGGCCGGCGCCGCCGCCGCAGGGACGCGGAGCUGCUCGGCGCGGCCGAGGCCGAGCGCAAGAAGAAGGUGGCGGCCGUCAUCGAGGACGUCGAGCGCACGCUCGCCACGCCCACGGCCCUGCUGCGGGGCAUCUCCGACGCGCUCGUCGUCGAGAUGGAGCGCGGCCUGCGCGGGGACAGCCACUCCCAGCUCAAGAUGCUCAUCAGCUACGUCGACAACCUCCCCACCGGAGACGAACAUGGCUUGUUUUAUGCAUUGGAUCUUGGAGGUACCAACUUCCGUGUUCUGCGAGUCCAACUUGGAGGAAGGGAGAAACGUGUUGCCAAGCAACAGUAUCAGGAAGUCUCUAUUCCACCACACCUCAUGGUCGGAACUUCCUUGGAACUAUUUGAUUUCAUUGCUUCUGUAUUGGCCAAAUUUGUUGAAACUGAAGGUGACGAGUUCCACCUCCCAGUGGGGAGGCAGAGAGAGCUGGGUUUCACCUUUUCCUUUCCGGUAAACCAAUUAUCAAUAUCAUCAGGAACACUCAUCAAGUGGACAAAGGGAUUUUCAAUCAACGGCGCGGUUGGUGAGGAUGUUGUGGCUGAGUUGAGCAAGGCCAUGGAGAGGCAGGGGCUGGAUAUGAAAGUUUCAGCACUGGUUAAUGACACAGUCGGCACAUUGGCUGGCGGGAGAUAUAUGGAUAAUGAUGUGGUUGCUGCCAUAAUAUUGGGCACUGGUACAAACGCAGCAUAUGUUGAGCAUGCUAAUGCAAUUCCUAAGUGGACUGGACUACUGCCGAAAUCCGGAAAUAUGGUAAUCAACACGGAAUGGGGAAGCUUUAAAUCGGACAAGCUUCCACUUUCAGAAUACGACAAAGCAUUGGACUUCGAAAGUUUGAACCCUGGAGAACAGAUAUAUGAAAAGUUGAUUUCCGGCAUGUAUCUUGGAGAGAUUGUGCGAAGAAUCUUACUGAAACUGGCUCAUGAUGCUGCAUUGUUUGGGGAUGUUGUUCCAGCUAAGCUGGAAAUGCCAUUCGUACUUAGGACCCCAGAUAUGUCUGCCAUGCACCACGAUGCAUCACAUGACCUUAAAAUUCUGGGAAGUAAGCUAAAGGAUAUCGUUGGGGUUGCAGAUACUUCCCUGGAAGUAAGAUACAUUACUCGUCACAUAUGUGACAUCGUUGCAGAGCGCGGCGCACGCUUGGCCGCUGCUGGCAUAUAUGGCAUCCUGAAGAAGCUAGGCCGGGACAAGGUGCCAAGGGACGGCAGCCCGAUGCCAAGGACCGUGGUUGCCUUGGACGGUGGGCUCUAUGAACAUUACAAGAAGUUCAGCAGCUGCUUAGAGGCGACUCUUUCAGAUCUCCUCGGGGACGAGGCCUCUUCUUCGCUGGUUGCCAAGCUGGCCAAUGACGGCUCUGGCAUUGGAGCUGCUCUCCUCGCCGCUUCGCACUCCCAGUACGCUGAUAUCUACUAGUCUUCUUGGUAACGAGCCCGGUGGAUGGAUUGAACCCAGAGUGUAGCAAUCUCUUCUCUUCCUUUUUUUCUUUUUCUUUUCCCUUCGAACGUUCCUAAUCGCCUGGUGGUGGAAUUUUACCUUCUUCGGCUAUUCUGCGGACACUCUCCGGUGCGUCUGCAGCGGGAUGUAGCUAGCAUAGCGCCAAAGAGCUUGGAGGUUUAUCUAAUGGCAUAAAAGUUUCAGUGGCAGCAACAUAUGGAGAUGGAGGUUUGGACAAUGCCAUUCCUGUUCUGCCGAUUCUUUUUCCCCUUUGUCUGGUGGUGUUUUGUAAUCCAUAACAUUUUGUUAAUCUUUUUUUUGUAUUUUCUCCUCCCAAUAAAGAUGGGGAUCGACAUCAUCCAAUUUAACCAUCUUUUUAUGUUGCCUGGUUUCUCCAGUAUAUACAUAUAUGUAUGUCUGAGUGCUCAUCUCUGUCUUCAGAAUAAUACUAGCAUUGUCUGAAUUUGAUCCAACUGCUCAUCUCAAGGCUGGCACACAGUGUACAAAAAUCCACCAUUGUCAUCUGCUCUGCUCUGCUAUGAAACUCCACAGUCUUGCUAGUUACAGUACUACUGUACCUUACAACUAUAUUUUGUCAGACGACAUCAUCGAAGCUACCCUUGCCGUCAGCGGCGUCGGAGAGUUGUUUCCGGCGACUGCCCCCUCUCACUGCUGGCAGCAGCGGGGCGGCGUCGUACUCGGAGACGGCCGUCUUCUCGUCGACGGUUUUCCGGUGCGCCUGCUCGCACCGCAGCAGUAUCUGCAGCACGUCCUUCAUGGUCGGCCGCGUCGA
rnacentral:rRNA from 1 species